rnacentral:rRNA from 1 species
UACGAAGGGGGCUAGCGUUGCUCGGAAUUACUGGGCGUAAAGCGCACGUAGGCGGCUUUCUAAGUCGGGGGUGAAAUCCUGGAGCUCAACUCCAGAACUGCCUUCGAUACUGGAGAGCUUGAGUCCGGGAGAGGUGAGUGGAACUGCGAGUGUAGAGGUGAAAUUCGUAGAUAUUCGCAAGAACACCAGUGGCGAAGGCGGCUCACUGGCCCGGUACUGACGCUGAGGCACGAAAGCGUGGGGAGCAAACCGG